rnacentral:lncRNA from 1 species
GAGGGUGAUACAAGUCAUUUAAUGAAUGCAUAUGCUGAGAACAUGUAAAUCAUGCGUAUAAAUUUCGUUCGAACUACAUAAAACAAUAUACUAAUAUUCAACUGCCAACAAUGAUAAAGAUAGUGAUAGUGCAUAACAUAUUCAGAGCAUACAUCUAAUUCAAAAUACAAGGGAAGAUGCUAUUACAAAGAUGUCAAAGCAAGAUGAAGGCACGAUAUUACUAGUAGGGGAAUGCCUCAUAGCUCGGAUUGUAAACCUCAUUCCUAUGUCCUAAGGGGGCGCAAAACAAACAUGAGUGGACCAAGUUGAUAUAUACAUAAUACUGAAACAGUUAAUCAACAUACUAACCCCCAAAGUUUAUGAAAACUCAAUAAUAUACUAUGUAAUAGGUUUUCCGAAAACCUUAGCAUGCCAUAAAACUUUUCAUGAAACAUAUAUCGUAAAAUGUGCUAAAUAGUGGUAUCAUGUAACAGUAUCUUAUGGCCAAAGCCACCAACCUACACCCGGCAAAAGCCAACAUAAAUAUCUCUCCCGGCUGAAGCCAAUAUAUGAGUAUCAUCGCCCUUAGGCACCAACCUAUGCCCGGUCGAAGCCAAUAUAUGUAUCAUUGCCAGUCGGUAGAACAGUAACCACUAAAUACGCACAAAAACAUUGAAUAUAUAUUCUUUCCAAUAUAAGGACAUAUAUCUCAAAGACAUCUUCAUAGCAUAUAGUCAUACAUCAUAUAUACUAUAAAGAAGUGUAAAAACAUGUUCAUAAGCAGUAUAUUGUCAUCCAUCAUAUAUACUACAAUGAAGAUAAGUUCGAUAAAAUAUGGUAUUCCAAAAUAUUCUCCGUAAAGCAUGAUAGUCAUAUAAUGUAAAUCCAAUUUACUUAUAAAACGUUACCAUUAAAUCACGCUUUUCAUAUAUGCAUUUCUACUAUUAAAACAUGCAUUUUAAAAGGGGUCCGCUCACAAAUACUUCCUCGUCGAAGAGCCAUACGAAAUAGGAAUGAUGGAAUUACCGCUAAUAAUUGCACCUAAGCACAUAAAGGGUCAAAUUAAUAAAACUAUGCUCAAAUGAUUGAAUUUCAAAAAACGGACGUCAUAAACAGAUCCAGGACGUCGAAAAAUAUAAAUGGGACCUUGGGUACCCCAAUGCGCCGCCACAAGGUGGCUCCUCCGAUGGCCUCAAGCAAGGAAAAGUCAACGGAAAAUUGGCCGAAAAAGUAGUCGGCGCCGCCGUGGACAAUGGCGCGUGUACUCCAUGCGUCGACCACGCGCAAGCUCACACGCAGCUGGGCUGCUGGGUUGGACUGGGUUUGGGCCUGGGUUCUUGGGCUUGGGUCUAAUAAGUUUGGGCCUAUGUUAUAAAGGGUUUGGGUUUUGGGUUCUAUCGGGCCUUGGGCUUGAAGGCCCGACCCAAAGCAAAGGGUUUUAGGAUUUAAUAAAUAAAAGGGUUGUUGGGUUGGGCUGCCCUAAGGUUUUGGGCUUAGGCUUAACGGCUUGAAGGCCCAAUUCUACACGGCCCCAAGGGCCUGGUCUCUUAGGGUUUGGUGGGUUUAGGCUUAAAGGGUUGGGCCGGCCUAACUCCACUAGUGGGUUGUCGGACCCGAUGGAAAAGAAAGCUGGAAUCCGACCGGACAACUCCUCCAAGCACCAUUCAAGCUCGAUUUACAACUUUAUGGUACGAUUCUAGUACCAAAAUGAAACUAGAGACGAGAGAGAGAGAGAGAUUUGGUACCUUCAAUUCAUCAUGGGGUGCUUAGAGGUGGCCGAAAUCUGGGUUCAAAGGUCACGAGCUCACCGGGGAGUUUUGGGUGGACUUUGGGUGUCCCAUGCUUCACUGAGACGAUGGAGGAAGAGGGUUUACAUAGGUGGUGAUGAUGACACCUGUGUCGCCAUUCGUUUGUCACUUGGGUGUGUGGGUGGUUAAUUGCAAUCGGGGGAGAGGGAAAUAGGGUAUUGUGAGAGUGAGAGAGAUAGAGAGCUGCGAGAGUGAGAGAUUGGGGAAAAGAGAGAGGAUGAGGAGGUGAGUUAGAGUGGUGCCACGUGGCAAACAGAGAGAGGAAGAUAAUCUAAAGAGAGGGUAAAGAUAGGGGGCAAAAAUGUACUUUUAUAAUUCUUUGGUAUUAAAAUGCAUAAAUUUGGGGAGGGGUUUUACUCGUGGCUUCAUCCUAGCAAAAAGACUAGUUAUGAACAAUCAUAAUAAAAACUAAAGAAAAUAUCAUUAACUAGAAAAAGGAUUGAAAACACCUUGUAGGUAAACAGUAUGAAAUUCUCCAAAAAUAAUACGUCUCCCAUCUCCUCCCAAAUGGCUAAAUAGCCUUAUUUAUACUACAAGAAAAAGGUCUUCUAAAAACUAGGAAACACAGUAGAAUAUGAUAACUAGGACAUACAUUCCUAUUCUAACUUUGGGAAAUCUGUACAGCCACAAAGAAUCCCACGUUUCUGGUUCUUCAGGGCUCCAAAACAGGUCCAAAAUGGCUAGAAUUAAAGCUUGAGAUGUCCCGAACAUAAUUGUAGAAGGCCUAGAACACAAAAGACAUCAUCUUGGAUGCCAAAAAGCCCAAAUAAGCUCAAAACGUUACUUUGACAACACCUCCUUCAUUUCAUCGCCAUAAUUAAACCGCUUGAUAUAAAAGUUUGAAACUUUGACAUAAACACGUUGAAAGACUAACGAACAUCUUGCAAUUGGAAUGACUCCAAAAUUCAUCCGUUUGAAUACUUUUUUCUCAAGAGGAAAUCAAAUGUCCUACAUUGGAAAUAUAAUUCAAAGUAUCAAAAGUCUACCAAAAUAAUCAAUAAAUUAAUACUAAGAUUAUGGUAAAAUAUAUAGUAUAAUAUCGGCUCAUCAAUGAUCAAAUCGGACUGCUACGAAAACACUAGGUUUCAAAGUAACACGAUCUAAUUCAAAAAUCCCACCCAAUAGAGCAUGUCUAGCAUAUUUUUUCACAGUAGCGGGAAAUGGUAGAAGAAUAUGAAUUAUUAUAGAACAUAUAAUGCAUUACAGACGUAUGAUAAUUACGCUUCACAUCUUGGUAUGGGCCGUAUCUCUCCUAUUGUCGUAAUUACUUGGUAUUCUCAUCUUGGACCCCAAUUAUAUCUGGCAAACAUCCAAAAUCAACCUCAAUGCCCAUCCAAUCCAAUAACCAAAGACGGUAUUUUCUUUUAUAUCUACGACAAUGCUGGAUAAGGAGGAUGAAGGACGCUGGAGGAGGAGGAACAUAGAAGAAGGUGAAACUUGGUAUAAGCCACACAAUUAGGCAUGCAUAAUAAUUUGGUUUGUCUUCGUCUUCUAUAAAAAUCAAACUUAAAAUUUUUGACAAGUGAAGAGGAAUGCCAACAAAUCGAAUAUAUAUAUUUUAAUACAAUUAAACAUAAGGGGUUAACUAAGUACUUUUAUUAACAACUCCUAAAAUAGCAUUGCUAAAAAAGGAUAUUUCUAUUCUCACGCUCAUUUUUAUCUCAUACACUCUUAUUAAUUUUUUGUCAUUGAUCUAUUUAAUUCAUUCGAUCCAAUAACCGAAAUUAAUCUAUUUCACUUCAUUUGAUCUGACGGCCGAAAUUGAAGCUUGAGAUGUCCCCUCUCCUCCCACGUUUUUGGAUCUUCAAGGCUCCAAACACAGGCCCAAAAUGGCUAGAAUUAAAGUUUGAGAUGUCCCGAACAUAAUUGCAGAAGGCCUCAAACACAAAAGAUAUCAUCUUGGAUGCCAAAAAGCCCAAAUAAGCCUAAAAUGUUACUUUGGCAACAUUGUGUUUUGCUCCUUCAUUUCAUCACCAUAAUUAAACCGCUUGGUAUAAAGGUCUGAAACUUUGACACAAACACAUUGAAAGACAAACAAACAUCCUCCAAUUAGAAUCACUCCAAAAUUCAUCCGUUUGUAUACUUUCUGCUCAAGAGGAAAUUGAAUGUCUUACAUUGGAAAUAUAAUUCAAAGUAUUAAAAUUAUACCAAAAUAACCAAUAAAUUAAUACUAAGAUUAGGGUAAAAUAUAUAGUAUAAUAUCGGCUCACCAUUGAUCAAAUCGGAUUGUUACAAAAACACCGGGUUUCAAAGUAACACGGUCUAAUUAAAAGAUCUCACUUCAUUGAGCAUGUCUAACUUAUUUUUUUUCAUAGUAGUAGGAAAGGGUAAAAGAAUAUGAACUAUUGUAGAACAUACAAUGCAUUACAGAUGUAUGAUAAUUAGGCUUCACAUCUUGGUAUGGGUCGUAUCUCUCUUAUUAUCGCAAUUACUCAGUAUUCUCAUCUUGGACCCCAAGUAUCUAACCAACAUCCAAAAUCAACCUAAUCCCCAUCCAAUCCAAUAACCAGAGACGGUAUUUUCUUUUAUAUCUACGACAAUGCUGUAUAAGGAGGAUGAAGGACGCUGCAGGAGAAGGAACACAGAAGUAGGUGAAACUUAGGAUAAGCCACAUAAUUAGCCAUGCAUAAUAAUUUGGUUUGUCUUCAUCUUCUACAAAAAUCGAACUUACAAUUUCUCACAAGUUAAGAGGAAUACCAAUAAACUGGAUAUAUAUAUUUGAAUACAAUUAAACUUAAAGGGUUAACUAAGUAUUUUUAUUAACAACUCCUAAAAUAGCAUUGCUAAAAAAAGAAUAUUUCUAUUCACACGCUCAUUUUUAUCUCACACACUCUUAUUAAUUUUUUGUCAUUGAUCUAUUUAAUUCAUUCGAUCC